rnacentral:lncRNA from 1 species
CAAGGGGGUGUUUUAGGGCUCUAUAGGUAACAAUGGGGGGGGGUAUUUUAUAUAGGGGGGGGGCACCUAUGGGUGCUGAGGGAGGGGUUCUGGGUCUCCCUGGGGGUGUUCUAGGUUUGCUGGUUGUUCUAGGGGUCCUUUUGGAGGGGUUCUAGGUCACCCAAGGGGGUGUUUUAGGGCUCUAUAGGUAACAAUAUGGGGGGGUGUAUUUUAUAGGGGGGGGGGCGGCGCACCUAUGGGUGCUGUUCCAUGUCCCCCUUCAGUUUAAAAUGACCCUAUAAAUGUUCUAGGUCACUCAACUAUUUAAGAUGACCCUAUAAGUGUUCUAGGUCACCCAACAGCCCAUAACGACCCUAUAGAUGUUCUAGGUCACCCAACAGCUCAUAACAACCCUAUAGAUGUUCUAGGUCACCCAACAGCUCAUUAUGACCCUAUAGAUGUUCUAGGUCACCCAACAGCCCAUAACGACCCUAUAGAUGUUCUAGGUCACCCAACAGCCCAUGACAACCCUAUAGAUGUUCUAGGUCACCCAACAGCUCGUGAUGGCCCUAUAGAUGUUCUAGGUCACCCAACAGCCCAUGACGACCCUAUAGAUGUUCUAGGUCACCCAACAGCCCAUAAUGACCCUAUAGAUGUUCUAGGUCACCCAGUGGGUGGAUUUUAUGGGUGGGUGGGGGUCGUUUUGGGGUCCCCCAAUGUCUUUUUAAUGGGGGUGGGGGGGGGUUGUUUACAGGAGGCUGCAUCACCCCAACCUGCUGCGCUGCCUGGGGGUCUGUGGGGCCGGAGCCCCCCUCCUGCUCGUCAUGGAGUACUGCCAGCUGGGUGACCUGAAGCGUUACCUUCGUGCACAACGUGGGUCUGGGGGGGGGACCCCGACGUUGCCCCCCCGUGACGCAGCCACCCUACAACGACUGGGGCUGGAGAUCACACGAGGACUGAGGCACCUGCACCGACACGGCCUGACCCACAGGUGGGGGGCACAGGGUCACUAUAGCCCCUAUUGUGCCCCCAUAGAGGCCCUAUAGCCCCUAUUGUGCCCUAUUGUGGCCCUAUUGUGGCCCUAUAGCCCCUAUUGUGCCCCAUUGUGGCCCUAUAGCCCCUAUUGUGCCCUAUUGUGGCCCUAUUGUGGCCCUAUAGCCACAAUUGUGCCCCAUUGUGGCCCUAUAGCCCCUAUUGUGCCCCCAUUGUGGCCCUAUAGCCCCUAUUGUGCCCCUAUUGUGUCCCUAUUGUGGCCCUAUAGCCCCUAUUGUGCCCUAUUGUGGCCCUAUUGUGGCCCUAUUGUGCCCCAUUGUGGCCCUAUAGCCCCUAUUGUGGCCCUAUAGCCCCUAUUGUGCCCUAUUGUGUCCCUAUUGUGGCCCUAUUGUGGCCCUAUAGCCCCUAUUGUGCCCCAUUGUGUCCCUAUUGUGGCCCUAUAG